UCAACCAUUGAUAAUGCUAUCACACAAUCAGAACCUGGAGCUUCACCAUUUACCCUCCAAUUCUCUUCAACAUCUGAUAUGAAUAAUGUAUUAUGAGCCUUGAGAAGCAACCCUUCAGCCGGCCCAGUGUUAUAAAUUUAUGGCUCAUUCAGGUGUUCCAGGGACUGCUGUAUUUUGAAGACAUGGGCUAUUUCAAAACACCUGUGAGUGAGUUUUGGAACCGAUCACAACUUUCAGCACUGAAAGAAAGAGUCCGUCCAAAAACGACACUCAGCAGGGCUGAAAAUAGUCAUUCUUCACACUGUCGCUAAUCGCAGCAGGGCAAAAGCAGGAUUUGUGAUUCUUUAGGUGCACUUGAUUGAACUUUCCCGGCAGUGUAGAAACACAACCGAAAGAAGGUAAAUCAAGCGCUCCUUGAUAUUUGGGAAACAUUUGUGCCCAGGACUGCCACACAUGCACAACUCUGUUACAGUGGUUUGCAGCCAAAGAUACAAAUAUACAAUAUAAUAUUGUAUAAUCUAGGAUCACUAUGUUUGCAGCUAUUCAGUACCUCUCUCUUCCAUGACCUGGAAGUAGAAUGUAUAUAUAUAUGUAUAUAUAAAUAUGACUCUCCCGUAAGCCGGAAGAAUUCAGUGUUUCACUCUACACACAGUUUGCAAGCAUACAGCAAAGAUCAGCUGCUUUGCACGUCAAACCCUCUCAUUGCUGGAUGAUUUUCAGUGCAGCAUGCAAGUAAAAAUGUGCACAAUAUUAAAAGUCUUUAGCUUCAUCAUCCAAAUCACAUGUAAUCACCCUCAUCGUCAUCAUCAUAUCCAUUUCACCAUGGACGUCUUAAACCUUUUUUUUUCCCCAUAAGGUGAUUGUUUCAAUAAGAAAUUAGAGCAGACUUUAUUAUUUAGUAUAUUUUCCUCUAUAUUAUUCUGCAUUUCAAAGCAUGCCAAAGAAAUGUUCAGUUUCUGCAUAGUGCUGGCUAUACGAGUGCCAAAGAGUUUGAUUCCUUUACAAGUCGUAGAAGUUGGUAUGUACAGGCAAGUGACAGAGCAGAUCCAGUGUUGUGGUACCAAACCCUCUCCAAACCCCCCUCCCCAAGUGCUCAAAAUAUCUACAAAUACAAGACCCGAGUCUAUCAGAACUCAUAGAAAGUUGUACAGAGCUGAAAAAAGCUCAGCAUUAUGGAAGAGCCAUUAAGGAAGGUGUGUGUAGGCGUGUGUCUGUGUGUGCAGGUCUGUCUGUAUGUGUGUGUACAUAUGAAAGGGGGGUACAACACUCAAACCUCCAUAAAUCCCCCACUCCCCACCCACAUGGAUAUUUUCAAAGUGCACCCUCUACUGGUAUAAUAAUAUGCAGUAUGCAUUACAUAAAUGUAUUCUCUAGCAUGGAAUAUUCCACUAAGUUCUACAGACACAUACAAGGUAAAAUAAGAAGAGUCGACAACGAGCACAUUCUAGUUUUGAGGUCAUAGUUCUGAAUGUAAAGAUACAGUUCAGGCCACUAGGUGACUGUUAUUGAACACUAACAACACUCUCGCUACAGAGGGUGAGAUGACGAGGAGAGCCCACUUAUGAGAAUAAAACACCUCAGCACUGCACUGUUAAAAAAAAAAAAGAAAAAGAAAAAAAAAAAAGCUAAAUAACCACAUUUACGCCGUACUUGUUGUCGGAGUUGGGUUUGGUUGUAAUCCUUGUGACCAGAGGCAGGGACUGCUGGUGUAAACUAUAUAAAAUAAAGAGGGGUCAGUAGUGAAAGAACUCAGUAGAUUUGGUCAGUGUCAGCCUGUUUUACACUCGACAGCCCCAGUGUUUGCAUUCACAAAGUGAGUCUAGCUUCCUAAUCAUGUUCAAUAUAACAUCUAUGUUAUCUAUGUUACCACCAUCACAGAAAAAUAAAGAUCUACUUCAAGUGUCCCAAUGGUACAGAAGAUUAUUAGUCCCAGGCAUAAAAACAUAACAGAUAUUGUGACAAGGAAGUUUGCUUUUUCAGUUUUUGCACUUAAAGAAUAAAGUCUAUUUGUCGAGAAUACAAAGUGUCUCAAAUAAGCUGCAGGUUUAAGACAAAAAAAUGGAAAAAUGAGGUUAACUUGCAACAUGAAUAAGUGUAAAAAAAAGCAACCCAGAGAGGAUCUGUGAGAGACUGCGUGGGCAAAUGGUUCAACGACUCCAGAAUGAUGUUCCUGAGUGUCGGAUUGUUAAGACUUUAAAGGAUUAAGAUAAUUGAAUGAAAUCUGGGGUCUAUAUGCCUUCAAGUAGCACUGCAUUACAAACAGACAUGACUCUGUAGUGGAAUUCACAGCAUGAGCCAGAAAUCACUGAAAAUCACUGUGAAUGAAUACCGUUUUUUAAAACUCCUUAAACUGGUCUCCUUGGUUACAGAAGGCAGUUUAAAAAGGAAGUCAUCCAGCACAAUGGUAACCAUGUCCCUGACAAACUGUUUGGAUACUAGCAUCACAUUUAAAUUAGCAUGUCUUUUCUUUUUUUAGUAAGUUUCAACAUGUUGUAGGUUGUACUUGUGAUUACUACUGUUACUUAUAGGGCUUGACCCAACAUCAAACAAUGAGCUUGCUCAGAUGUAACUUUUUGCAGUGAAAUAUAGUAGGGUUAUACUGUGAAUUUAAAGCCCUGUUUCAUAAAUAUCACAAAAAUUCAUUGUGAACUUUUUUCAUUUGGGGGUAUUACUGCUAAAAGAAGAAAUGUAUUCUUGACAAUUUCCUUUUAUUCUUAAGGUGCAAAAAACAAACAAAACCAUGGUCCAUCCUUUUCACAGCAUAUCUUUCUCCCUAAUGCCUCGAACACUAUUACACCCAGGAAAGUCACGGUAAAAUAUCUUUGGCUGAACUUUAAAAUCACACAGAAUCCAGUUGCAUUUGCUCCUCUGAAAGUCAACCACUCAGCAGCUUUCGUACCAUUUGUGUUUUGACUCAGACGCUGAAUUACAUGUGAGUUUAAAAUGUCACCAGGGAUCAAUAGCGACAGUAUUCGUUGACUUUGGUUGACAGUAAAGCUAAAUCUUCACAGACACUUGAGUUUGUAACCCAACCUCUAACUGAGUACUCCGGUGAAACAGGCUGCAUGCACUCAGUGGAUUUAUGGUGUCUUUGUGCAAUUUUGUGAAACAUGUUUGAAUUAUUUAUAAUUUGAACAUCAGUGGGUGCAGCAUGUGCCACUCCUCUUGCACUUCUACCCUUAAAUAUUGAAUAAAUGAUGAGAAAGGUUGAUGAGUGUGCAGCAGGGUUAUGGACUAAAGAGCACAUUGACAUUAGAAACACUCAAAGCCUUCACUUGCUCUGCCCAAUGAGCCGAUCAUCAACCCAACACAAAUAAUAAAACCCACAGACAAACAGCAAAAAUCCUACAGCAAUAAAUAAAUACAGUAGCUUCGACCAGCAAGCAGCAAAAUACAAUCUUCAUAAGUCUGCAUUAAAGGGGAAUCUGGGCAGAGUCAUGUUACUCUGUUAGCGAAAAGUUUCUUCACUUCUUCUUCCUUCAUUCUGAUUGGUUUGUUUUGAGUUUUGAGACAAAGAAAAUGAACUUUCUAACAUCAACAUUACGUUCCUGAGUCUUUAUUAAACAUCUGCACUGUUUAAGAAAUAAAGUGCUAAAAAUGAACAAGGACUGCUACAAGUGGGAACUGUUUAAAGGACUAUUGCACUACAACAGGGUUUCCCUCUUCUGGUAUGAGUCGUAAUGUGUGCUGUCCAAGUAAAGGGGCUGUCUGUGUAAUUUUCUAAUGAGGAAGACAGUUUGAAGUAAUAGAUUUUAGUUUCCCUUUUCCUUAUCCAGGCAACUCAUGAUGAAAAUCUACAACCACAGUUCCAAAAAAAGGAGAGGAUGCUAAGUUAAAUACUGAUAAACACACAUUUUAACAGUUUGCAAAUGAUUUAAUUUGAACUGAAAAUUGUGCAAAGACAUAUCAAAUGUUGCCACUGAACUAUUUUGUU